rnacentral:rRNA from 1 species
AUGGCACGUGGGGAUGACACUGUGCCCCAAGAAAUUACUGCAUUCAUUGGACAGAGAUAUGUAUUUGUGGUGUCUAUCUCCUCAAAGAGCUUCUUACCUGACACUGAAGUGACCUCGUUCCAAGUUAAUAGGCUAGAUGUGCCCGAUGAAACAGCCGUGAGAAAUGCGGUUGUGUAUUGUAAGGCAAACUCACUCGGGAAAUCUGAGAGUGAUACUGGUUCUCUGACUGGUGCUGGGUUAUCAACUGGUGCGCCGCUCACUGGAUCCAUUCCACCAUUAUCACUCACAGAUAGCGAGAAUGCUGACGAGACUGUUCGUGAGGGGUCAUACUCAAAGGAACUUGCCACCCCUGAAGCCAAUAAGAAUCGUUCUUCACCAGCUUCUGUCAGCAAAAGUGUCACUACACAUAUAAUGGCAACAGGUGGUGUGCCUAAGUCUGGGCUGCGUAAACCUCUGUUUUCCGAUGGUCGUGCUCAGGUACCUCCUUUCAUUUGCUUGGCGAAACUUCAUUCAGAACUCUUUACAUGCUUGCUUGGUAGUCGGUUGACACGAUGUAUCUGUUUAUGCCUGCUAGGGGCCUGCAAAGAUGGUUGGCGGCUCCGCUGUUCUUAG